rnacentral:tRNA from 1 species
GCCGCUAUCGUCUAACGGUUUAGGACGUUGCCUUCUCAAGGCAAAGAUUAGGGGUUCGAAUCCCCUUAGCGGCA